AGAGUUUAGUGCAGCCAAGGAUGACUUGCCGGAAUUAGUUAACCAACCAGAGGACGGGUUCCGCUUUUUUCGGCAAGUUUGUCCUUGGCUACAUUGAGCUCUCU
rnacentral:pre_miRNA from 1 species